rnacentral:rRNA from 1 species
GACGAACGCUGGCGGCGUGCUUAACACAUGCAAGUCGAACGGAGUGGCGAACGGGUGAGUAACGCGUAAUCAACCUGCCCUUCAGAGGGGGACAACAGUUGGAAACGACUUCUAAUACCGCAUACUGAAGGACGGGAUUGCGUCUGAUUAGCUAGUUGGAGGGGUAACGGCCUAACAAGGCGAUGAUAAGUAGACGGUCUGAGAGGAUGAACGGCCACAUUGGGACUGAGACACGGCCCAGACUCCGACGGGAGGCAGCAGUGGGGAAUCUGCCGCAAUGGACGAAAGUCUGACGGAGCAACGCCGCGUGAGUGAGGACGGCCUUCGGGUUGUAAAGCUCUGUUAAUCGGGACGCGGUACCGGAAUAGAAAGCCACGGCUAACUACGUGCCAGCAGCCGCGGUAAUUC